AGAGUUUGAUCCUGGCUCAGGAUGAACGCUGGCGGCGUGCUUAACACAUGCAAGUCGAACGAAGCAUUUAAGACAGAUUACUUCGGUUUGAAGUCUUUUAUGACUGAGUGGCGGACGGGUGAGUAACGCGUGGGUAACCUGCCUCAUACAGGGGGAUAGCAGUUGGAAACGACUGGUAAAACCGCAUAAGCGCACGGUGUCGCAUGACACAGUGUGAAAACACUCCGGUGGUAUGAGAUGGACCCGCGUCUGAUUAGCUAGUUGGUGAGGUAACGGCCCACCAAGGCGACGAUCAGUAGCCGGACUGAGAGGUUGACCGGCCACAUUGGGACUGAGAUACGGCCCAGACUCCUACGGGAGGCAGCAGUGGGGAAUAUUGGGCAAUGGGCGCAAGCCUGACCCAGCAACGCCGCGUGAAGGAAGAAGGCUUUCGGGUUGUAAACUUCUUUUGUCAGGGAAGAGUAGAAGACGGUACCUGACGAAUAAGCCACGGCUAACUACGUGCCAGCAGCCGCGGUAAUACGUAGGUGGCAAGCGUUGUCCGGAAUUAUUGGGCGUAAAGCGCGCGCAGGCGGCUUCUUAAGUCCAUCUUAAAAGUGCGGGGCUUAACCCCGUGAUGGGAUGGAAACUGGGAGGCUGGAGUAUCGGAGAGGAAAGUGGAAUUCCUAGUGUAGCGGUGAAAUGCGUAGAGAUUAGGAAGAACACCGGUGGCGAAGGCGACUUUCUGGACGACAACUGACGCUGAGGCGCGAAAGCGUGGGGAGCAAACAGGAUUAGAUACCCUGGUAGUCCACGCUGUAAACGAUGAUUACUAGGUGUGGGGGGAUUGACCCCUUCCGUGCCGCAGUUAACACAAUAAGUAAUCCACCUGGGGAGUACGACCGCAAGGUUG
rnacentral:rRNA from 1 species